AGUAUAUUUAUUUGUAUAUAAUUUUUACCUUGUGAAUUUAUUAUAAGGAACAAGGCAAAAUUGAUUUCCGCCUGUUUAUCAAAAACAUGUCCUCUUGAAAAUACUUUGAGGUCUGGCCUGCUCACUGAGCAGAUUUUUAAAGAGCCGCGGUAUUUUGACUGUGCCAAGGUAGCAUAAUCAUUAGUCUCUUAAUUAGUGGAUGGAAUGAAUAGCUUGACGAGAAAUCAACUGUCUCUUAAUAAAUUUUUGUAUUUAACUUUUGAGUCAAAAGGCUUAAAUUUUUCUUUAGGACGAGAAGACCCUAUAGAGCUUAACAUUUUAUUUUUAUAUAGUUUUUGUUUGUAUUUCUAUAUUUAAUGAUGAUGUUUUGUUGGGGUGACAUGAAGAAUAAAUAAACUCUUCAUUAUUAUAUCAUUUAUUUAUGUUUGUUGGUUUGAUCCAUAAUUUAUUAUCAUAAGAUUAAGUUACCUUAGGGAUAACAGCGUAAUUGUUUUUGAGAGCUCAUAUCGACAAAGCAGAUUGCGACCUCGAUGUUGGAUUAAGAAAAAU